rnacentral:rRNA from 1 species
UACGAAGGGGGCUAGCGUUGUUCGGAAUUACUGGGCGUAAAGCGUGCGCAGGCGGCUGCUCAAGUCAGGGGUGAAAGCCCAGAGCUCAACUCUGGAAUUGCCUUUGAGACUGAGUGGCUUGAGUACGGGAGAGGUGAGUGGAAUUCCCAGUGAUAGAGGUGAAAUUCGGUAGAUAUUGGGAAGAACACCGGGUGGCGAAGGCGGCUCACUGGCC